rnacentral:rRNA from 1 species
CUCGGGCUUGCAGUGGGUACGGGCAGACUAGAGUGCGGUAGGGGAGAUUGGAAUUCCUGGUGUAGCGGUGGAAUGCGCAGAUAUCAGGAGGAACACCGAUGGCGAAGGCAGAUCUCUGGGCCGUAACUGACGCUGAGGAGCGAAAGCAUGGGGAGCGAACAGGAUUAGAUACCCUGGUAGUCCAUGCCGUAAACGUUGGGCGCUAGAUGUAGGGACCUUUCCACGGUUUCUGUGUCGUAGCUAACGCAUUAAGCGCCCCGCCUGGGGAGUACGGCCGCAAGGCUAAAACUCAAAGGAAUUGACGGGGGCCCGCACAAGCGGCGGAGCAUGAGGAUUAAUUCGAUGCAACGCGAAGAACCUUACCAAGGCUUGACAUACACCGGAAACGGCCAGAGAUGGUCGCCCCCUUGUGGUCGGUGUACAGGUGGUGCAUGGUUGUCGUCAGCUCGUGUCGUGAGAUGUUGGGUUAAGUCCCGCAACGAGCGCAACCCUCGUUCUAUGUUGCCAGCGGGUUAUGCCGGGGACUCAUAGGAGACUGCCGGGGUCAACUCGGAGGAAGGUGGGGAUGACGUCAAAUCAUCAUGCCCCUUAUGUCUUGGGCUUCACGCAUGCUACAAUGGCCGGUACAAAGGGCUGCGAUACCGUAAGGUGGAGCGAAUCCCAAAAAGCCGGUCUCAGUUCGGAUUGAGGUCUGCAACUCGACCUCAUGAAGUCGGAGUCGCUAGUAAUCGCAGAUCAGCAACGCUGCGGUGAAUACGUUCCCGGGCCUUGUACACACCGCCCGUCAAGUCAUGAAAGUCGGUAACACCCGAAGCCGGUGGCCUAACCCUUG